rnacentral:tRNA from 1 species
GCGCCAAUAGCUCAGCUGGAUAGAGCAAUUGCCUUCUAAGCAAUAGGUCGCAGGUUCGAGUCCUGCUUGGCGCA